rnacentral:sRNA from 1 species
CUCCCUUAGCCGCCCACAACCCAUGCCCACACCACCCACCUGUGCCCACAGCAAACCUCUGAGGAAGAGUUGUGCAACCUGCUCACCAACGUGCUGUUCUCGGUGACGUGGCGCGGCGUGGAAGGCAGCGAUGAGGCUGCCUGGCGGGAGCGUGGCCAGGUUUUCUCGGUGCUCACCCAGCUGGGGGCCUCAGCCACACUUGUGCGCCCACCAGACUGUAUCAAGCGCAGGUGAGAGGGAAAGUCUGGAGUGGGAGGGGCUUCAGGAAGCCUCGGGGGAAGGAAAGAAGAUAGUCAGGUAGACCCUUGAGUUCCCCACUCACCCGCCAGCCUCCUGGAGAUGAUGCUGGAGUCAGCCCUGACCGACAUCAAAGAGGCCCCCGUGGGGGUCCUGGCCAGCCUCACCCAGCAGGCGCUUUGGCUGCUGCGUCUGCUGCAGGACUUCCUGUGUGCUGAAGGCCAUGGUAACCAGGAACUGUGGAGUGAGAAGCUCUUUGAAGGUGUAUGCAGCCUACUUGAUCGCCUGGGAGCCUGGCCCCACCUGGCCAACGGCACAGCUGAUCUCCGUGAGAUGGCACAGAUUGGCCUACGGCUUGUACUUGGCUACAUCCUGCUGGAAGACCCACAGCUGCAUGCCCAGGCCUACGUGAGAUUGCACAUGCUGCUACAGACUGCAGU